ensembl:lincRNA
AAUCUUCUAAGGGGGACAGUCAAUGGAGAAACCUAGAAAACCUGGGCCUAGGUUGGCCUUGAAGUCAUUAUGGAGACCAGACCGUCUAAGAAGUCAUGAUCCUCCAGCCUGAAUAUCCCAAGCGUUAGGAUUAUAGAUAUGCACCACUGAGCCUGGUUCAGGGUUUGGCUGUUACAUACUUCCAGAAGAGCUUAGGUAUCAGUUUAGGUAGGGAUCCAUGUCCGUGCUUGGCGGUUCCUAAAGUGUGAACAAGCUACUUCUUACCUCUUAUCCCUCAGGGCUAUUGUGGGAUAUUUGCCAGAGAACACUGCUCAGGCACGGGUUUAAGCCAAUAGAAAGUCUUCAUUGGCCAGCCAGUGACUACACUGGGUGUUGGGGAUCCCUUUGUAGCAUUAAGUCCUUCUCAGGGUGAGCUUUUAAAGCACCAAAAUAAACAAACAAACAAACAAACAAACAAACCUAUGUUCUGACAUAUUUCAGUUAACAGGAACAGUUAGCCAGAGCAAAACUACAGAAGCCAUAAAGCAAGGUUAGUACAGUUUGAGACUUUCCCAGAACUGUGGUCUUUGAUGGGUUAGGUCUUUGUUGUAGUUUUGGCAGGUGCUGUCAUCUACGGGCUGGGUUUUGUAGCCUGAACGGCACUUCCACCAUGGAGUCAGUUGUGUGGGUUCCUGUAACCAGGCAACAUGGAGUUAAAGCACACAGAGGUUUCCUGUGGACCUGUUGUGGAGGUUAGAACUCUUUGUAAUGUAGCACAUUGGACUUUAAGGCACAGUAGAUUAAUAUGAUAUCAUCUACGCAUAUGCUAUUUGUGCCCCUGGCCUGGUGUAAUUGGCUUGAAGUGAGUCACAGAUGUGCAGAAUCUCUCCGAGGGCAGCUCCAGCAGAGGACAGUCCAGCCAGGCGUGGUUCCAGCCGAUGAAGAGGAAAUGGGACUGCCUGUCUGUAGGGCCGUGCUGCUCCCACCUGUCCAGAGCUUGAAAGCGUGUCCCUUUCCUACAGCUGUGGGAGCUGAAGCCUGGAGAGGUCAAGGGUCACAGCUCUUCAGAAGACAAAGCUAAUUCACUCCCAUCCCCAGUUCUCCAAGCCUGGGCUGUAACCUCGCUGCUUCUCAAGUCUGUCAGCUGCCAGUUCUAAGGCGCGGCGAAUUGCUCCCUCUAAACAUUGUGGGUGUUCUCAAAAAUAACCUGCCAGCAGCGCAGAGACUGGUGUGUGCUGCCUGUACAGACGUUGACCUUCAUUUCUGUCUGGCUUCACCUUGGUUGGCAUGGAAGUCUUAGAUUGGUGAAGAUUAAACAGAAAAUCCAGGAAGAAGCUCGUGUCAAGGAAAGCACCUCAUUUAUUCGCCCUUUCUGGCUUUUCCCAGGAACCAUUAACUGCCUAGAACUCCUCAGAGAGGCGGAAGGCUUCAUGAGCCCCGCCCACCGACCUCUGAUGGGCAGUGACCAGACCCAAUCUGGUGCAAGUUUUUAUUCACCGGGGUUCUUUCCAGCUUCUGAGAGUGCACCAGCGCAUGGACCCUGUCGUAUUGACGAGACUGUGUCCCAUGAUAGUGAUGGGUACCUUCGACUGUCAUCUCUGGUACACUUCCUUAGUGUCUUUUGCCUUAUGAUCACAGAAAGGAAGUUUGAUCAACUUUUGGUUUGAUUUUGUGACAGGGUACCGAACAUAGCCUCCUGAGUGUUAGGGUUGUGUACCUCAACACUUCUGCUCUUACAAAAUGUUUCUUGUUUCAUGUUACUCCUACCAUAUGAUUUAUGUCUGCUUAUUUUGGAAUACUUUUUCAUUCAAAAUAUUUUCAUUGUGAAGAUAUGAUCACGAUACUCAAGGUAAGAAAGAGUAAACAAGGAAAAAAGCCUUUAUUUCCCUCCUGCAAUUGAGGCUUCAGGGGUAUGUCACCUUGCCUGUCCCUCACACGUAUUCAAGAGCUCACGUCAAAAGCUAGUUCCAGCUCGGACCUUAAGUUGGAGGCAGGAGGCGCGGCCUCCAGCAGCGCGCCCACAGCGCCCUCUUGAGUCUCUGGAAGGUAUCAUAGAACAGAAGGAUGCAGGAGGGGACCGAGGUUCCAAGGAAGGGAUGUUGGGGAAGGGGCGUUGGAGCAGGCGAGCUGCGGAUCUCUUGAGGCUCCGAGGUCACCCGAAUGCUGUGCCCACAGGACUCCGGGUCCUGGGCGUCGUCAACAGCGGCUGGGUUGGCGGGACCCACGCGGAUCCAGCUCACAUGGCGCAAGACUCUCAACGCCUCCUCCCUCCCCUCUGCGUUCGCGCGACGAGUUCCGCAUCUUUAUCACCGCUCUCCCUGGGGUAUGUGUGGCGGCCUAGACCUCCGGGUGUCCCCAGAUGGAGCAGGUGCCUGGAUGCCGCGCCGGGUUGGGGCAGGAUGUUCGGAUGAGCCCUGUGACUUUGGCGGCCUUAGUUUCCUCAGGAUGACUGCCCUCGUGCGUGGUCAGCCAAGAGGAGCGGGUCAGAGUAUCCACUACGCACCGCGAGCGCCCAGAGGAGUGCAUCCGCCCAAGUCCCACCUCCUAAGGCUCCAGUCUGUCCCUACCUCUCAGCACGUCUCCGCUCUGAUCUUGAUUUUCCUGGAGGUCGACCCAGGUUAAACCCCACAAGCCUUGUAGCCCCGAGCCUGUCGGGUGCGGGCUUGGCCGAGGCUUUCUCGACGGUAGCAGGCACUGUGCUGGGAGGACAUGCGCAGUCGGCCAGCCAGAAGCCGGAGGCAGCCUUCUCCUGGGUGACUGGCCCCUGGGUCAUCUCGCUUCAGCCUGCUUUGGUUCUAGGAGUUGGAAAUGCUUACCUUGAAGUCAAUGUCCCCAGUGUAAGUGUCUGCGAGACGGCUCGACAGGUGUAGGCGCUUGCCACCAAGCCUGACCACCUGAGUUUUCUGUGGAAGGAGAGAAGCAACACGGAAGUUAUGCUCUGAUCUUCACAUGCGCUGUGGUGCGCACGCGCACACAUCCCCCUCGUCCUGUAUUUUUUUCUUUUUUUAAUUUUAAAAUAAAUUUAAAUCUCCAAUAUACCGAAAACCACAUGUAUAAAACGUACCGAAUAACAAACCACCCGCACCUCACACCUUUCUGCUUCUUAAAGGUUGCAUCCUUGUCCAGGGUGUGGCUGCCUAGCCACCACUCACCUAGACUAUGGCAGAGAUGUUCGUUGAGGUUAGUGCUUAUAUUGACUUAUUUGUUGGUGUUUGUUGGAGAUAGGAUGGCUAACGAUGUGAUUGCCUUCCUGUCUGCCAGUAAACUUCAGACAGCAAUACUUCUCCCCCAGAGCAAAGGCAGGGCACAUGCCUGUUUCUGGGCACGUAUCCAUCUUCAAGAAAGUCAGUUGCUACUCUGUUGUCCUUCAAAGACAUCAAGUCCUUGGAUGGAGAGAUGGUGUCUUGGUUAGGGUUUUACUGCUGUGAACAGACACUAUGACC